NNCCUGACGAGUCCCGAAUAGGACGAGACGCGCGUCCUGGAU
rnacentral:hammerhead_ribozyme from 1 species